GACCGCUCUGGUGGCUUAAGUGGUUAUAGCAUCCUCUUCAGAUGAAGGAGGUCAUGAGUUCAAAACUCAGCCAAGUCA